rnacentral:rRNA from 1 species
GACAGAGGCCUCGAGCGUUAGGCGGAAUCACUGGGCUUAAAGCGUGUGUAGGCGGGCCGUUAAGUACCUUGUGAAAUCCCCCGGCUCAACCGGGGAAUGGCUGGGUAUACUGGCGGUCUUGAGCGAUCUAGGGGCAGAUGGAACAAGUGGUGGAGCGGUGAAAUGCGUAGAUAUCACUUGGAACGCCAAAGGUGAAGACAGUCUGCUGGGGAUCUGCUGACGCUGAGACACGAAAGCCAGGGGAGCGAACGGG